rnacentral:rRNA from 1 species
UAAGGGAUAUUGCACAAUGGGGGAAACCCUGAUGCAGCAACGCCGCGUGGGUGAAGAAGGCCUUCGGGUCGUAAAACCCUUUUCCAGGGGAAGAGGAAGGACAGUACCCUGGGAAUAAGUCUCGGCUAACUACGUGCCAGCAGCCGCGGUAAGACGUAGGAGGCGAGCGUUAUCCGGAUUUAUUGGGCGUAAAGGGCAAGUAGGCGGUUGUCAAAGUUGGGCGUGACAGACACUGGCUUAACUAGGGGAGGUCGUUCAAAACUAGGCAACUAGAGGGCAGAAGAGAGAAGCAGAACGCGUGAGGUAGCGGUGGAAUGCUCAGAUAUCAGGAAGAAUACCAGUGGCGAAGGCGGCUUUCUGGUCUGCACC